rnacentral:tRNA from 3 species
UCGGGGAUCGUCUAGGGGUAGGACGCCAGGUUCUGGCCCUGGUAACCGGGGUUCGAAUCCCUGUCCCCGAACCA